AGGAGGAGAAGGAGGAGGAAGAAGAUGAAGAAGUAGUACGUGCUACACAAGGAUCAAUAUCGAUAGAAACAAAAGAGCAAACCAACAACUUAAAUUGUGGCAUUGCAUACUGUAUGAAAACUGUUGCAGUUAGCCAAUAUGAAUAUAGUUAAAAUAUGUCAACAAUGUGGUAAAGACGUAUUUCAAAAUCAGAAAUGUUAUCCACCUUCAUUACAAGAAAAUGGCAGUGUGCAGCAGGCCAUGAAACUCAGAAAUGGCAGUCCCAACCAAGGAUUCGUAAUAUCAAUUUAUGAGAUUUUGUGCUCUGCUCAAAUAUUUUGCUAAGUGGUAACAACUUCUCCAAGAUUCAGCAUCUUUUCAACUUACCCGGUAUAUGUAGAUGGGGAUACGUCUCAAAGAGGACAUAUUAUAGGCUUCAACACCAGUAUGUCUGCCCGACAUUGGGGAGAAAAUGACGUCACGGAAAAAUACACAGGACAGGAUGUUGUUAAUGUUCUUCGUCUAUGUGGAGUCAACUUGGAUUUCAUCUGAUCUAUGGCCCCCAUCGAAAUAGUCCGGGUUCAAACAGUCCAUAAGAACAAACAACUACGUAGAAGGAUGGCACAAGGCCCUAAACAAUGCUGCUCAAACAGGAAACCUCACCUUGUAUAAGAUGAUCCCCCUUCUCCACGACUUAUCAAGGCUGGUGAA